rnacentral:rRNA from 2 species
AGAGUUUAUCCUGGCUCAGAUUGAACGCUGGCGGCAGGCCUAACACAUGCAAGUCGAGCGGUAGAGAGAAGCUUGCUUCUCUUGAGAGCGGCGGACGGGUGAGUAAUGCCUAGGAAUCUGCCUAGUGGUGGGGGAUAACGUUCGGAAACGGACGCUAAUACCGCAUACGUCCUACGGGAGAAAGCGGGGGACCUUCGGGCCUCGCGCCAUUAGAUGAGCCUAGGUCGGAUUAGCUAGUUGGUGAGGUAAUGGCUCACCAAGGCGACGAUCCGUAACUGGUCUGAGAGGAUGAUCAGUCACACUGGAACUGAGACACGGUCCAGACUCCUACGGGAGGCAGCAGUGGGGAAUAUUGGACAAUGGGCGAAAGCCUGAUCCAGCCAUGCCGCGUGUGUGAAGAAGGUCUUCGGAUUGUAAAGCACUUUAAGUUGGGAGGAAGGGUAGUAACUUAAUACGUUGCUACUUUGACGUUACCGACAGAAUAAGCACCGGCUAACUUCGUGCCAGCAGCCGCGGUAAUACGAAGGGUGCAAGCGUUAAUCGGAAUUACUGGGCGUAAAGCGCGCGUAGGUGGUUCAGUAAGUUGGAAGUGAAAUCCCCGGGCUCAACCUGGGAACUGCUUUCAAAACUGCUGAGCUAGAGUACGGUAGAGGGUGGUGGAAUUUCCUGUGUAGCGGUGAAAUGCGUAGAUAUAGGAAGGAACACCAGUGGCGAAGGCGACCACCUGGACUGAUACUGACACUGAGGUGCGAAAGCGUGGGGAGCAAACAGGAUUAGAUACCCUGGUAGUCCACGCCGUAAACGAUGUCAACUAGCCGUUGGGAGUCUUGAACUCUUAGUGGCGCAGCUAACGCAUUAAGUUGACCGCCUGGGGAGUACGGCCGCAAG